CAUCCAUCUUCCCCGUGCACGCCCUAUUUUCCCCAUCCAGCCGCCGAUCCUCGCCCAGUACCACGGCCAGCCGCCGGCACCGCUACUGCUCUCUCCGGCCUGUCCCUCGGCCAGACGCUGUCAUGCUGAAUGCUAGCUGUCCAUUCUCCCGGUCAAUCGCCACCAUGCCCGACGCUCUCUCGGCGAGCCGCCGCCACCGCGACCGACGUUCCGCCACCUACUACUGCCGCCACGACCGACGAUCUCCCCUGCAUUAAUUCUCUUCCUGCUACCGCUCUAUGGCCGCCACUACCCUUCCAGCUCCACAACAUAUGAUAUUCCGGCCACAAAUGCACAUGAAACGGCCUCACUCACCAACUAAUUCACCUAACCUCAUUACAUCACCCUUCAUUAACCUGCAAAUGCGGAAGAAAGUGGAUUUAAGUACCCCUGCUAUGUAGUGUCAUUGUCAUCCAUCACACAUGACUUCUUGCGUCCCAUCGCAAGAGGCCUUCGGCCAGGUGGCGCUUGAGAUCAAAGCAAAUUCUCCUCGAGACGCCCUCUGAUUCCGCCCCCUUGCACUACAGGAUGUCACCUAAUUCCGCAAACAAUAAUCUGCCAUGUUCUACCAUCAUUUCAAUAAGAGAAGCUCAAAAGAAAUACACAGAUGCAAUUGCAAAGAGGAAGAGCACAAAAGACCUGGAGUUUAUAACUGUCUGGUGACCAUCUAUUUUCAUAUGUUGGACACAUUGUUGAGUAUGAAGAAUGAGAUACCAUAUGUCCAGGUCGUAGUAAUUGCUCAAGGCACACCUACAAACAACAUCAAAGAUAUCCUGCAACAGUAUAUUUGAUGCUACAAAGUGCUAUAGCUUUAUCAUAUACAAUAUAUAUUGUUCAUGCUAUAAACUGCUAGGUUUAAUCAUGCGGUGCAUAUAAAUCUAUCACAAUUGAAAUUAUAUUCUUCUUUGAGAUGCU